CUCUUCUGGUAAGUUUUGCCAUUUCUGUAUAUUCCACAAGUUUUUGUAUCCAUCUUCUUGCGCUAAGACUUCUGCUUCUUUCCAUUUUGGGGCAAGUAACAUUCUUGCCGCUGCAGUAGCAUACAUGAAGAAGUUUCUAUACAAUUUAGGUAGUUCUGUCCCUAUAAUCUGGUUUGUCACUGUUAGGAACAGGAUGCUGGACUAGAUAGGUUUUUGGCCUGAUCUGCCAGGACUCUGCUUGUGUCUUAAUAACUGCACUGGCUCCCAGUGGAGUACAAGGUCAGGUUUAAGGUGCUGGUUUUGACCUUUAAAGCCCUAUGCGGCCUAGGACCCACAUACCUAUGGGACCGCCUCUCCUGGUAUGCCCCGCGGAGGACCUUAAGGUCUACAAAUGACAACACUUUGGAGGUCCCAAGUCACAAGGUGGCUAGAUUGGUCUCAACUAGGGCCAGGGUCUUUUCGGUACUGGCCCCGACUUGGUGGAACGCUCUGUCACAAGAGACUAGGGCCCUGCGGGACUUGACAUCUUUCCGCAGGGCCUGCAAGACAGAGCUGUUCCGCCUGGCCUUUGGUUUGGACUCAGUCAGACCCUUAUGUUUCCCUCCCCUUAUGGUUUUGAUCUAUGGGCUACUAUUAAAAUGAGGCUGUAUUUUAAAUUGGUCCCCCCCCCUUAUGUGUUUAUUGUAAUUUUACUGGUGUUAGCCGCCCUGAGCCCGGCUCUGGCCGGGGAGGGCAGGGUAUAAAUUAUUAUUAUUAUUAUUAUUAUUAUUAUUAUUAUUAUUAUGAGUAACUGCAUUCCAGUUCUCCUAACCUGUUUUUUUCAACCCCUGAGACCCCUGAUACAGAGAGUAUCUGGGAAAGCCAAGUAGGCUUACUGUAUAAUUUAGGCAGCCAAUCAUGGUGCAGCAAGUUAAGAACAGCAAUGUGUAAUUUUUAAGGCAGAAACCAGCAAAGGAAGGGCAGCAUCAACAAAACAGUACAAGGGACUGAAGGCACUAAUACUGAGAAGGCCAAAUGUCCAAGCACUCAAUUUUGUCAUUAUAAAAUCUGGAAGGGAUGCUUUCCUACAUCUGCCCUGCUCAUCAGACGAUAUUUGUAUAUACAUGGGCCCAGUGCGGUCUUUCAAAGUUCAUUUUGCAAGGAGCACUCUACUAGAUUUGGCAGCCUCAUUUAUAUUGGCCUGUAAUUUAAUUCCCAUCUAAAUUACUGCAUUAUAAGCUGCAAAUGGGAGGCAAUGUCAAUAUGUAACCAUGUCCUUUUGGAUAUUUUCCCGUAAAGUAAAUUGACUCUAAGCUAAUUUUGGAGUCGGCACCAGUUUCAGAUUUCUGACUUGGAAGGGAUCCUAAGAAGAAUGCAGGAGUGCUGCAGAUAUUUUUUUUCCUGGGGAUCUGGUACAAAAUUUGGCUUCCUGAUUAGUUCAGAGUUUUACUUAUUUUCUCAUUUAGCUCUCAGGUUGCACGGGGAAGUAUGAAACAGCAGAAUCAUUGUUAGAAACGUAGACCUGACUUUCUUCACACGUUGACAACUGACUGCAAGAACAGCUUUUGGCACUAUUGGGACGAGACAAGUGUUAAAACUGAAUGCUGGGAAACUCAAUCCCAAAGGAGACUUGAGGCAUACCUUAGUCCAGGGAUGUCCAACAGGUCGAUCGCAAUCUACUGGUAGAUCCCCACGAGGUUUUGGUAGAUCGUGGUCGAUCGCUGGGUCCCUUUCUUGAUCAUUGGUAAAAAUCGAAUCUGGCCCUGCCCUCCAACGAAGGGCAGAAAGGAAGAAGGAGUUUACUCAGUGAGGCUGUUUUUCCUCAGUGAUUUGUUGGUGAUAGGCUGUUUUUCUUCCUCCCCCAAUACCCUUAAAAAUGGGGGUUUCCUCCUCCCUAAAAAAUGCUCAACAACUUUGACCUGAACCCCGCCAAAAUGGCGGUAGAUCACUGCCAGUAUUUAAUUCUGUAAGUAGAUCACAGUCUCUUGGGAGAUGGCCACCCCUGCUAGUCAGUGGAAUCACAUAAAUGUAGCACAUGAGGGUUAAUCUGGAAGCAGAGCCUAACACAGCCUGGAAUGGAGAGUGGGAGUGGUCCAGUCCAAAGAGGACAUCUGAAUAGGGUUGGCCACCGGCCAGUACUUUAUAUUUCUCUCUCUUUCUUUGUCUGGUAGGCAGUUUGGAAAGUCAAUCAACUCUCAGUUAUCCAUGCUCCACCGAAAAUCCACUAGGUUCUAUUCUGCUUUGCUGGCAGAUUGAGUUUGAAGAAUCCAAUUCUGAGGGAAGCUCAUCACUACCAUUCAUGAGUAACAAGACUGAAAGUGAACAUCUGUAGUUGCACUUUAUGCUGGGGAACCUGUGUGGCCCUCCAUAGGUUGCUGGACUCUUCCUCCCAACAUCCCUGACCAUUGACCACGUUGGCUGGAACUGAUGGGAUUCCACUAACAUCUGAAGGGCAUCAAGUUCCCCCAUCCUUGGCCUAGCCUAUAUCCCACUGCACUAAAAUAACAGGUAGCAAGUCCUGAGAUUUUCAAGGCAAAGUUUUGAUGUGUGUACAUUGCAAUGUUCAGAGUCAUUCCUUUAUCUUUCCCAAGAUGCCAUAGUUCCAUGAUUAUAAUCUAGCAUCUCUCAGGCAUCUAAGGCUGGCAGCACAAAGGAGGGUUCUGGGGUGAAGACUCAUGUAACACUCAGGCUAUAGUCAUGUAAGGAAUCAGACACAUCAAAACUUUGCCUUGAGAAUCUCAGGACUUGCUGCCUGUGACUUAGGAGACAUUGAACAGGAGUUCUAAUGGACGAGGACCUCAGCGUUCUUCAUAUUUCCCUGUUCCAUUGUACAGUUUCUUCCCUUCCUCCAAUGACCUAGCAAAUCCACACAUCACCUUGUAACGCCUCUGAAACAACAGUUUGAGCCAGCCCACCUAAGGCACCAGAAAGGUGUCAGAAAGCCACCAAUCUCUCCUCACCAGCCCAGCAGUUUUCUUUAGGGUUGUUUCUGCUUCUUGGCCACCCAAGGAUUGCAUGAAUAUAGCAACCACAGAAAAUGUUGCUUGCGGAGUAAACAGAGAUGUCCACAUAUUGGAUAUGCAAUAAUUCACAUAACAUUUGCAUUUCCUUAGAAUAUGGAUCACAACCAACUCUUUGUUUUUUGUAGGCAAAACGAUUCUCCAGAUUUCAUUCCGUCUGUGAAGGUGAAAGGGUAAACUACAUCACCAUGAGGACCCUUUUUGACUGGGCUUUACUUUCUCUAUGAGACAGUAGUAGCUCCAGUGGAGUUGCAGGGCCAUUCACCAUCCCCACCAUUAGGCGUAGGGGGACAGUGCCCAGUUGCCGUGGAGUACAAGUGUCAGGGGUUGGACUGGGGAGGAAUGGUGGGGGCCAACCCCCUUCUUCUGAACCUUCCCAAGAACAGGAGGACAAUAGUUUUCGACCAUUAGUUUACAGAAGGACAUAGUUCAGAGUCUGCAGACGGGAGAAGCUGAGAAAUAUUGGGAGUGGAACAACAGGAAGAAGCAGCACCAGCGGAGAGACAGCUGACAGACUCAGUGUCUUUGGAGAGCAUUCCUGAGCCCCCCUCUCCAAGGACUAGGUGUGCAUUGAGAGUAGAAGAGCAGAAAGCUCAAAGGCAGAAAGCCCAGAUUAGCCGGCACAGGAAUGACAUAGGAUAAGAGAGAUGGAGGAGGUUGGGCUUACUCGGAGCAACGCCAUUCAGAGCCGUCUUUAGCAUAAGUGCUGCCAGGGUGCAAAGAUCUGCCCAGUGCCCCCAAAUUUAGUUUAGCCACCCCCAAUUUUUUAGGGGGGUGAACUUAAAGUUGUUGACCUUUUCUGGGGGAAGAAAAUUGCUCACCUGUAACUACAACGCUGCAGAAAUAACUGAACUGCUUUUAACAACAGAAGAGGGGGGCAGGGACUUUCGCUCCAUUGCUUUUCACUUCUGCCGAUCGAGAGGGACAGUAGGUAUACAGUAGGUAUACAUUUGGUGCCCCCCAGAAUUCAGCGCCCAGGUGCCCCACACCCCUUGCACCCCUGGGUAAAGAGGGCCCUGACACCAUUAUUUAAUAGGGACUACAUUCUCUCUCUUUCUCUCUGUGAAUACUGAAUAAAUUCAGUGGUAAAGACUUCUUCUUGUUACCUGCUUUUUUUUGCUGCCACCAGGGGAGGGAAAGGAUUGCCUGAACCUUGACAGCAAGGGAGGGCUGGUGGCAGCCCUGCUCCAGCUAUUCCUCCUGAGCUCCCAGUUAUUUCCCUCUGUUGAAAGACAGAGCUGCAUGGGGAUUGCCUGAAGGAUAGAGGGAACUGUCAGUAUGUAGAGGAUACCCAACUCUGUUCUUUUUUUUAAAUAGAUCUAAGCUCAUCAGCAAUUUUGAUGCUUAACAUGCCUGGCAGUGCCAAGAUGGAGGAAGACAAGAUGGGAACGAUGAUCUCCCGUGACAAGGAAAUUAGGGUGAUUUUGCUUGUUGUCAAGUCAUUUAUAAAGGUCUGGCCUUUAUAAACCACUCUGUUUAAUAAAGUGGAUCCCUAGAGUGCAGAGGUCCGUAUAGUUAAAGUCAUGGUUUUCCCAGUAGUGAUGUAUGGAAGUGAGAGCUGGACCAUAAAGAAGGCUGAUCGCCAAAGAAUUGAUGCUUUUGAAUUAUGGUGCUGGAGGAGACUCUUGAGAGUCCCAUGGACUGCAAGAAGAUCCAACCUAUCCAUUCUGAAGGAAAUCAGCCCUGAGUGCUCACUGGAAGGACAGAUCGUGAAGCUGAGACUCCAAUACUUUGGCCACCUCAUGAGAAGAGAAGACUCCCUGGAAAAGACCCUGAUGUUGGGAAAGAUUGAGGGCACAAGAAGAAGGGGACGACAGAGGAUGAGAUGGUUGGACAGUGUUCUUGAAGCUACAAACAUGAGUCCGACCAAACUGCAGGAGGCAGUGGAAGACAGGAGUGCCUGGCGUGCUCUGGUCCAUGGGGUCACGAAGAGUCAGACACGACUAAACGACUAAACAACAAAGAGUGCAGACACACUGGGCAAGAGAGUUAUGUUGGAUCCCCACUAGUAGCUCCUUGUCCAUUUGUCCAAUCUUUGUAAUGGAGCUUGGGGCUUGGAAGAAGAUGUUGCUUCAGCAGUGAAGCAGCUCAGAUUGGAGGCUUCACCCCUUCCUGGCUAUUAGCAGGCCUGAUCAAAGCCGGUGUUUACAACUGCCCCUCAUGAGUAGCCUCACUUGCAGAUUCACGAAUUUUGGAAAGCAGCACCCAACUCCAGCAAAGAAUGGCUCAUGGCUUUGUCACCACUGAACCCUCCUGGCAUUAGUGUGCAAACAGUAGCUUGGCCAGUGGCAGAGGGGACUGCAUGGGGAAUAAUUGCAUGGGGAAGGUGACUUUGGGAGCCCUUUGGGAUGUUGUCUCAGAGCCACCCCCCCCAUUGUCCUGGAGAUAAAGGGAUUGAGCCCUCCAUUCUUUCUCCAAAGUGGUCAUUAGUGGGGAGGAAUCCCCCCCCCCAUUUUAUAUUGAUUCCUUUCUUGUGUUUAUAAAUGUUGGAUGCACUAAUUGUUCAAAAUAUUGGUGGUUGUUUCUUUAAGUCGUUGGUAACGGUUGUCUUUCUCCUGCAGUACAAUAGGCAGAAGCAUGGGUCUGCAAUUUCUCAUUUUCUUUUGGUGCUUUAUCAUUUCUUUCUUUUUAAAAAUGUCAUUCAUCAGAAUGGGCUUCAUAUCCUCUUGGAAAAUUGCCUGAGUGAAUGGGUUCGGGAUAUCUGCUCAUUGUUUUAUAAGGGUUGUUGGCUAGCAGUCCAUCUGACCUUGCAAAUCUAUUCGAGU
rnacentral:lncRNA from 1 species